UGCAUCGUAAUGUAAAUGGGGGCAGCAGGAAGGUCAAACUGACUGCCAUAAAAGUAGCCUCGCCCAAUUUCUGCAACUUGAGCUUGCAGCCUUCUAACACAGGCUCCGCUGAAACCUCCCAACUUCUGGGUUUAAGUUUUCCAACGACUAAAAAAAAAACCCAAGGGAAAGGAGGGAUGAUGUGCUGAGCCUUCCCGUGUGUCCUGGGGUCCUGUAUACCCCUAAAUUCCUCUCCCUCUGUGGUUUGAAUGGGAGAGGAAAGGCACGAAAAGACCUGUUUCUCCCCCACCUCGCCCUGCAGGCGUUAAGGGGGUGAGCAAGGGGCUCUUCUGGCACUAGGGGUGCCCGUGCAGUGCCCGCGCUGGAAUCGGGCUGGGAUUGGCUGUGGUCUUCGCGCCCAGGCAGUGCUAACUCUGCUCUUUGUCUAGGGAGGGUAUAAAUAUUGGGGGACUUCCUGCCUUGGGGUUCCCACCUUACAGUUCUCCCUGCCUGAGCGUUGGUGCCUGCCUGAGACUUCUCCCCCCCGCCUGGAUAGAUGCUGCAGAAGGAGCCCCUGGCACUCUGCUCCGAAGGACGGCUUCACCCAUUAGCACCCUUUAUGCAGGCUCAAUAGCCCUUAACGAUGCUCUGGUGGCUUCUGAAAGAGAACCGGAGAGGACAAGCAGCUGGACCGCCCUUCUUUCAACCAGCCUGGCUCGCCCGAAAGUGCUAAGAGGCUGCUGUGCUUUCACCAACUCCUCUCCUUGCCACAAGAAGUCAUCACCUAACUCAGACGAUUGGUGUCCCUCUGUGGGCAGUACCUGCCUUCCCCUGGCACCACCAGCAGCAGGAGAUGCUGUGCUAGGGGAUGUCCAAGGGAUGAGCAGAGAGGUGCCCAGCACUCAUUCUCCCAAGGCAUGCCAAGUCUUGGCACCUUGGGGGCAUUUCUCAGCUGUGGCUGAGCCCAGACCUGCAGAAGUAUGGAGUGUCACCUGGAUGAGCUUGGCCACCUCCUUUCAGGCUUCAACAAGGACACAUGCCAGGGAGCCCACGGGGACAAGCAGCUGAUAGCAUGCAUGAAGAAACCUCUCAGUGGAAACAUUGCUCUCCAGAGAACCACUUCUUCAGCAGCAGUUGUGAGACUCAGAGCCAUUUUUUCCCCUUCCAUUUAAGGAGACACCAAUAAAAACAAGCACAAAACGACGCCGUGGUUCCAUUUUUCAGCUUA